UGAUAAUGGUGAGGGAAAUUUUAGAGUAUACUUUUAAAUCUCUCCCAAGAUUGGUAGAUAUUCUCUCCUUCAUUUAGUGUGAAACUCUGAAUCUCACUUCUUAAACA
rfam:Capsicum annuum cultivar Zunla-1 chromosome 4, whole genome shotgun sequence